ACCUACGGGGGGCAGCAGUGGGGAAUAUUGCACAAUGGGGGAAACCCUGAUGCAGCAACGCCGCGUGAAGGAAGACGGUUUUCGGAUUGUAAACUUCUGUUCUUAGUGAAGAAGAAUGACGGUAGCUAAGGAGCAAGCCACGGCUAACUACGUGCCAGCAGCCGCGGUAAUACGUAGGUGGCAAGCGUUGUCCGGAAUUACUGGGUGUAAAGGGAGCGCAGGCGGGAAGCCAAGUCAGCUGUGAAAACUACGGGCUUACCUUGUAGACUGCAGUUGAAACUGGUUUUCUUGAGUGAAGUAGAGGU
rnacentral:rRNA from 1 species